rnacentral:rRNA from 1 species
UACGAAGGGAGCUAGCGUUGUUCGGAAUCACUGGGCGUAAAGCGCACGUAGGCGGAUGUGUCAGUCAGGGGUGAAAUCCCGGAGCUCAACUUCGGAACUGCCUCUGAUACAGCACGUCUUGAGUCCGAUAGAGGUGGGUGGAAUUCCUAGUGUAGAGGUGAAAUUCGUAGAUAUUAGCUAGAACACCAGUGGCGAAGGCGGCCAACUGGUCCGGUACUGACGCUGAGGUGCGAAAGCGUGGGGAGCAAACAGGGAGUUAAGAUAUC